rnacentral:rRNA from 1 species
GAUGAACGCUGGCGGCGUGCCUAAUACAUGCAAGUCGAGCGAACGGACGAGAAGCUUGCUUCUCUGAUGUUAGCGGCGGACGGGUGAGUAACACGUGGAUAACCUACCUAUAAGACUGGGAUAACUUCGGGAAACCGGAGCUAAUACCGGAUAAUAUUUUGAACCGCAUGGUUCAAAAGUGAAAGACGGUCUUGCUGUCACUUAUAGAUGGAUCCGCGCUGCAUUAGCUAGUUGGUAAGGUAACGGCUUACCAAGGCAACGAUGCAUAGCCGACCUGAGAGGGUGAGCGGCCACACUGGAACUGAGACACGGUCCAGACUCCUACGGGAGGCAGCGGAAGGGAAUCUUCCGCAAUGGGCGGAAGCCUGACGGAGCAACGCCGCGUGAGUGAUGAAGGUCUUCGGAUCGUAAAACUCUGUUAUUAGGGAAGAACAUAUGUGUAAGUAGCUGUGCACAUCUUGACGGUACCUAAUCAGAAAGCCACGGCUAACUACGUG